GAAGCAAGCCAGACAGCCGCUGGCCGGUGCAGCAAUGCACUGGCGGGAGGAAGGUCCGGACUCCAUAGAGCAGGGUGACGGUUAACGGCCGUCCGCCGAAGUCCGCAAGGUAUAAGGCGAGGAAUAGGGCCACAGAGACGAGCGUAUUAAGUUACGGUGAAACGCGGUAACCUCCACCUGGUGCAAUUUCAAAUAGGCACGCGAUGAUGUUGCUCGCGGAGCGUGCGGGUAGAAAGCUUGAGCGCCGGAGUAAUUCGGCGCCUAGAGGAAUGGCUGUCAUAGCGCCGGUUCGCAAGGGUCGGCGCCGUAACAAAAUCCGGCCUAUCGGCUUGCUUCACUU
rnacentral:RNase_P_RNA from 1 species